rnacentral:rRNA from 1 species
UACGUAGGGCGCAAGCGUUGUCCGGAAUUAUUGGGCGUAAAGAGCUCGUAGGCGGCGUGUCGCGUCGGUUGUGAAAGCCCGGGGCUUAACUCCGGGUCUGCAGUCGAUACGGGCAUGCUUGAGUUCGGUAGGGGAGAUCGGAAUUCCUGGUGUAGCGGUGAAAUGCGCAGAUAUCAGGAGGAACACCGAUGGCGAAGGCAGAUCUCUGGGCCGUAACUGACGCUGAGGAGCGAAAGCGUGGGGAGCGAACAGG